UGGUAUUUCGUUCCUCUUUCGACAGUAUAUUGUCUGCAGCCAAUAUACUUAUCAAAAGAAAAGCGAAAUAUCCGAAGAUCCACUACCAACAACGAAUUGGAAGUGUGACACGUCGAUGUAUCAAGCCACCUGAUACCUCUUCACUGAACCAGAAGCUCACAAUCAUUACUAUCGAAACAUCGACUUUACAAAUCGACACUCGAAAUUAGAACGACUCUGGAACAUCUCGAAUCUAGACCAACUACAACUAACCCACAACACACCAAUUUGGGUGUUAGAAUAACCGCACACGAUGUAUGCCUUAACGAAAACUUGACACCAAAACUGUGUCAAUU
rnacentral:lncRNA from 1 species